UACGUAGGCAGCGAGCGUUGUUCGGAAUUACUGGGCGUAAAGAGUGUGUAGGCGGUGCUCUAAGUUCGGUGUGAAAUCUCCUGGCUCAACUGGGAGGGUGCGCCGGAAACUGGAGUGCUUGAGCGUGGGAGAGGAAAGCGGAAUUCCUGGUGUAGCGGUGAAAUGCGUAGAUAUCAGGAGGAACACCUGUGGUGUAGACGGCUUUCUGGACCAUAGCUGACGCUGAGACACGAAAGCGUGGGGAGCGAUCCGG
rnacentral:rRNA from 1 species